rnacentral:misc_RNA from 1 species
GACAUCCUCAACGGAAGAUAUGGUUGUUCAUGGUUCGCCUGAUACAGGCCCUAUGCCACAGCAGUCUAGAGGGAAUACCCAAUGGGAAACUCUUGAGCUUUAUCUUGAAAAAUAUAAAGCUUUUCAUACUGGAUUGCCAGCAACUGUUGCUGAAACACUUCUUCGUACAGAUCCUCAGACUGAAUUACCUUUAUGGCUAGUACAUAUGUUCAAGGACUUUCGAAGGGAUAGAACAUGGGGAAUGACUGGCCAAGUAUCGAAUCCUGCAUCUUUGUUCAGACUAUAUGUAGAUUAUGGUCGAUUUACGGAAGCUACAAAUUUGCUGCUCGAGUAUUUGGAAUCGUUUGCGUCAGUGAGACCAUCGGAGCUGAUACUUCGGAAAAGGCCAUUUGCAGCAUGGUUCCCAUACUCGACAAUAGAGCGUCUUUGGUGCCAACUUGAUGAAUUGAUCAAUUUGGGCCACAUGGUGGAUCAAUGUGAUAAGCUUAAAAAACUAUUGCAUGGAGCUUUGCUAAACCAUCUGAAGCUUCUAAAGGUGGACUCGGAUGAUGCAUUAUCUUCUGCUGCCUGUUGAAAAAAUGUUGUGGCAACCUUCAAAAUCAACAAUGAAGAUGGUGAAACUAAGGAUUAAUCUGGAUAGUUAACAGCUGAUGAUUCACUUUUGUUAAGUUUAUAGCUUAGCAUCGGUUUGCUUUCGUUACAUGGCAAUUUUAACAGGAGUAAAGCUGCAAUUCCGAAGUUAAAUAUCCAUAUUUAUACAUAUAGCUGAGCGCCUAUCAUUGAAAAAAGAGUAAAAAUGGAGGGACACUCACUGAUCAAAGGAAAGAAGAAAUAUUUUUGCCUAUGUUCUGUAAUGUUGUGGCAAACGUCUGCCAAUUGUGCGGGCCUGAAAUUGACAAGCAGAAACAUUUUUGCUUGCUAGUGGCUCGAGUAUAAUAGAGGGAGAGUUGGUAGGGAUAAGUGUACAGAGUAUAGAC